UGAGGAAUAUUGCGCAAUGGGGGCAACCCUGACGCAGCAACGCCGCGUGAGUGAGGAAGGUUUUCGGACCGUAAAGCUCUGUCGAGCGGGAAGAAAUGCAUGGUGGCUAAUAUUCAUCAUGCUUGACGGUACCGCUAGAGGAAGCACCGGCUAACUCCGUGCCAGCAGCCGCGGUAAUACGGGGGGUGCAAGCGUUGUUCGGAAUUAUUGGGCGUAAAGCGCGUGUAGGCGGCUGAAUAAGUCAGAUGUGAAAUCCCUGGGCUUAACCCAGGACGUGCAUUUGAAACUAUUCAGCUUGAGUAAGGGAGAGGAAAGUGGAAUUCCUGGUGUAGAGGUGAAAUUCGUAGAUAUCAGGAGGAACACCGGUGGCGAAGGCGACUUUCUGGCCCUAUACUGACGCUGAGACGCGAGAGCGUGGGUAGCAAACA
rnacentral:rRNA from 1 species